UUCUUGCUGCUCCUCCCUCUCCCAGUACUUGAUUUCUUCAUCCAAAAACCCAUAUUCAUGGUUGCAACCUUUUAGCGUCGUCCUCACCCAGGAGACAAUAUCUAAGCCCUCAUCAAAGCUUGGAUCCACUGAAUCCAAUUUUGCUGCCCCAAAAUCUCCAAUCUUGGGUUCAAAUUCCGAGUCCAGCAGUACGUUGUCUGAUUUGACAUCCCUGUGAAUGAUUGGAGGUACACAGUCAUGGUGAAGAUACGACAAACCUUGAGCUAUUCCAAGAGCAAUACGGCAUCGCUGCUCCCAGCUCAAAGCUACGCGAGUCCCAUGCUUGCCUCUUCCAAUCACAUGCUUAUCACUCCAACCUUCAGUUCCACGAAGAAUAUCCAUGAAAUUCAGAUCUUCUGGUAACUCUUCAUUUCUUGAUUGAUGGUACAGCAGAUCUUGAUGAGAAGAUG